rnacentral:rRNA from 1 species
AGGGAAUCUUCCACAAUGGGCGCAAGCCUGAUGGAGCAACACCGCGUGAGUGAAGAAGGGUUUCGGCUCGUAAAGCUCUGUUGUUGGAGAAGAACGUGCGUGAGAGUAACUGUUCACGCCGUGACGGUAUCCAACCAGAAAGUCACCGACAACUAAGUGCACGGCGGCGCGGUAAUACGUAGGUGGCAAGCGUUAUCCGGAUUUAUUGGGCGUAAAGCGAGCGCAGGCGGUUGCUUAGGUCUGAUGUGAAAGCCUUCGGCUUAACCGAAGAAGUGCAUCGGAAACCGGGCGACUUGAGUGCAGAAGAGGACAGUGGAACUCCAUGUGUAGCGGUGGAAUGCGUAGAUAUAUGGAAGAACACCAGUGGCGAAGGCGGCUGUCUGGUCUGCAACUGACGCUGAGGCUCGAAAGCAUGGGUAGCGAACAGG